AUUGAACGCUGGCGGCAUGCCUUACACAUGCAAGUCGAACGGUAACAGGCCUUCGGAUGCUGACGAGUGGCGAACGGGUGAGUAAUACAUCGGAACGUGCCUGGUAGUGGGGGAUAACUACUCGAAAGAGUGGCUAAUACCGCAUGAGAUCUACGGAUGAAAGCAGGGGAUCGCAAGACCUUGUGCUACUAGAGCGGCCGAUGGCAGAUUAGGUAGUUGGUGGGAUAAAAGCUUACCAAGCCGACGAUCUGUAGCUGGUCUGAGAGGACGAUCAGCCACACUGGGACUGAGACACGGCCCAGACUCCUACGGGAGGCAGCAGUGGGGAAUUUUGGACAAUGGGCGAAAGCCUGAUCCAGCAAUGCCGCGUGCAGGAUGAAGGCCUUCGGGUUGUAAACUGCUUUUGUACGGAACGAAAAGCCCUGGGUUAAUACCCUGGGGUCAUGACGGUACCGUAAGAAUAAGCACCGGCUAACUACGUGCCAGCCGCCGCUGUAACAC
rnacentral:rRNA from 1 species